rnacentral:lncRNA from 1 species
GUUUAGGGCCUGUGACACCUCUGGGUUACUAGACGAUGGAACGGCGCCGUUUUGCUUAGGGGACAAAAUGUUUGGUUUGGUUUGGUUUCACUAGAGCUGGGCAUUUCAUCGGAAACUCCAGCGUAGCUCUCUCCAUCUCCACAGCAGCUCCUUCCCAUCCGUCUUCUCUCCAUUCAGAUUCUGAACAACCGUACGGAAAACCAAAAAUCGCCAAAUUCCAAAACCAAGAAAGUGCUGCCUAAUCCUCAUCCUCCUACUCCAUCUCGGUAAGUUGUUUGUGUGUUGAUUUUGGUUAUGUGUAAUUGAUUCUGUUUGGUUGUUUAUGCUUUUGUGUGGCUCUGGGUCGAUGGAUUAGCUUAAUUAGAAUGCCCAAUGCGCUCUACCCUGUAUGUUCAUUUUCCUUCCCUUGAUUUCUUUUUCCAAAAUUGGUACUGAACCUUUGUUGAGAAAUGGUAGCAAGGAUAUGAAAUUUAACUCUUUUAGUUCCCAAUAUUUCGGUAUUUGGUUGAUCUGCAGUUGCUAGUUGUGGACCAAACUUGGGUUGUUUCUUUGUUUCUGGCCUUUUUUACUGUGAUGCUUGUUUAGUCACUCCUCUAUAGCAAAAACAUUUUAUGUUCAUUGCAAUAGAAAAUUAAGAAUAAUUGCUUAAAUGGUUUCUGAAUAUAUAUAUAUAUAUAUAUAAAGAUAAUUUAAUUAUUUCAAAUUAACUAUAUAGAAUGACUAUCAGUAUGUCAUAGGGUUGGAUCACAAGGUCAUGCCUAGGUGGGGGUCACCGGGUCAAGUUCGAUGGUCAUCAAGUUGAGUCCAAUGGUCACUAGGUUGAGUCCAAUGGUCACUAGGUUAGAUCAGAAGGUCACUAGGUCAGACCAAGAAGUUACUUGUCUGAGCUUGUGGUUAAGGAGGCCGGUUUGAUUGUUAGAACUUAGAAGGGCAGGAUCAAGGGUCAACGAGGAAACAAAAACAAAUAUAGUUACCAGUCUUACUUAAUUUUCAGUUUUGAAAACCUGAAAAAAAAUAAUAAUGAGUCAUGGCUAGUUUCCUUGGAAAUUCAGGGAGGGCUGCUCUCUGGCGCAGAGAGGGUUUAAUCUGGUCUACCUCGAGGUCCUUUCAUGGAGGGCUGCUCUCUGGCGGGAGUAGCUGUUAUGCAGCUCCCACAUGAGUUUUUCUGUACCUUCAUAGAUGAUUUGAGUUUCCUUGUUGAUGUGCUUUCAUAAACAGAGCUAUUUUUCCAAUCGUGUAUAUAAUAUGAUUUUCCUUAUAUUCCUGAAAGAGGAAGAGCUUUGAAAUUUGUAGACAAUUCUUUUUUUGUCAUUAUACAAAAUAACUAUAAACUCAUAAAUUGAUUCACAUUAUGUUUGUCAUGCGAUCAUGUUUUUCUAGUAUUAUUAUGCUUAAUGAAAUUUAAGCUGUUAUCUUUUCAUGAGAUAUGAUGGCUAUAGGUGAUAGAUUGCAACUGAUUCAUCUGUUAUCACAGUUGAUUUUCUCCAGUUAUAGUUGCAGUCAAGGUUCGUUCUUCAUUACUUGCUGAAGGAGAUCCAAGUUUUUAGGUUAGACAUCUCCAAACUGAAGCAGUAAAUUUUUACUUUGGUUGGUCCUCUCCUUGUUUUUUUGUUUGUACUGGGACUUUAUUGUUUAGAUUAAAUAUCAUUUCUAUUUUGAUCCGACUGUAUAUGUUUUUAGACUUUCUAAUACCGAACGACUUUGGUUUGUUUUUCAUUUUCUCUAUAUACUUAUGAUUGUUUUAUUUUACUUUCUUGGUACUCAGUCCCAUUAUUUGUUACUUUUUGUACAUAAUCUAUAAAUCUGAUUUGAAAUCUUUGUUCAUAUGUUAUAUGAUUUCCCCAUCCUUUUUUUUGUAGUUAUGUUUUCUAUGACAACCUGGUUGAUGUUAUUUAGUUUUAGGGAUUUGGGGUUUUAUUUUUCUAGAGAUGCUUGACUGUUCGGGACUUGGUUCUGCAGAAGCAUAGUAAAGUUGUGAAUACUUCAAAAAGGCCUGACUUGAUGGAUGGGUUUCUCUUGAUUUCAUAAAGUGCUUAAUGGAGGAUUUGUUAAAGAUUGUUAAAGAUACGAAAAUGCUCUGAUAUGUGGUGGUCUUUUUUUUCCCGUUUCGUACCCAAAAUUUAUCAUGAAGGACUGGAUUCUUUCUGUUUUAUUUAAAUCAUUUUUAAGUUUAGACCCUGCUAUCAUUCCACUGACUAGGAUUUGUUUAUAGAUUGUCAAAAUAGUCAGCCAAAAAGAAAGAGCACCAAAAGUAAUGGCGACCAAGAUAUGCGUAGUGAUUCGAUCUUUUCAUCACCCAAACCUUUUGUGGGGGCUUCCACCUUCCACACGGAGGAUUGCAUUGCCUGAAUCACGAGUCUUAUAUACUGUGUUGCGAUCACCUCAUAUUGAUAAAAAGUCCAGAGAGCAGUUUGAAAUGGAAAUCAAGAAACAAUAUCUGGUCAUAAAGACACAACCGCAUGAAUUGCAGAAGAAGUUUUUUUGGCUAAAGCGCCAACGUAUAUUUGGAGCUCAAUAUGAACUCCUAUUUUCUUGCAAGACUCGAUUGGAUAAGGAACAACUGCUUUAAUUGCUUUGAAGCAAGAUCCUUGCAUUGACCCUUCCCUGAACCAGAACCAGCAUGGCGGCGCCGCUGGACGGUUCUGAUAAACACAGGAAGGGAGGGGAAAGAGAGCACGUCAAAUGAUGCCCUAGUUUGUAUUGUGGCUGGUGUUUUUCAAGUUUAGUUUAAAAUCCGUUUUGAUCAGAUAGGAAGAUGCAGAACUGUUUUUGGUUAUUGUGGGAUUCUGCGUCCAAGUUAGAGAAUGAUAUGAGGUUGCUAUAAUAAUCCAACACUUGACAUUUUCAACUUGGAGUUGGAUAUCUCACUGAACAAUUGCAUUAUCGAUCUCAAAUGUUAGAAGGCACGGGCAAAGAAAUACUUGCAUUAGAGGGCUGGAACUUCCUGUGCUGCAACUUCUUUUGUUUUUCGUUUUUGUUUUUCUUUGCUUUAUUA